GAGGCUGUAGCUCAGUGGUAGAGCACAUGCUUAGCAUGCAUGAGGUCCUAGGUUCAAUGCCUAGUGCCUCC
rnacentral:tRNA from 1 species